AGGAUUCCCCUAGUAACGGCGAGUGAACCGGGAAGAGCUCAAAUUUGAAAUCUGGCAGUCUUCGAUUGUCCGAGUUGUAAUCUAUAGAAGCGUUUUCCGUGCUGAACUGUGUAUAAGUCCCUUGGAACAGGGUAUCAAAGAGGGUGACAAUCCCGUACUUUACACAAUCAUCAGUGCUCUGUGAUACGUUCUCUACGAGUCGAGUUGUUUGGGAAUGCAGCUCAAAAUGGGUGGUAAAUUCCAUCUAAAGCUAAAUAUUGGCGAGAGACCGAUAGCGAACAAGUACCGUGAGGGAAAGAUGAAAAGCACUUUGGAAAGAGAGUUAAACAGUACGUGAAAUUGUUGAAAGGGAAACGAAAUUCAUGAAUCAUGUUUAUUGGACUCAGCCGUUCUUCGGUGUACUUCCUUUAAACGGGUCAACAUCAGUUUUGUCCGAUGGAUAAAGGUAGUAGGAAGGUGGCUCUCUCGGGAGUGUUAUAGCCUAUUGCUGCAUACAUUGGAUGAGACUGAGGACUGCAGCUUGCCUUUAUGGCCGGGGUUCGCCCACGUCAAGCUAGGANUGAC
rnacentral:rRNA from 1 species